rnacentral:miRNA from 1 species
UUUGCGACCGAAUCCAGGCCACG